rnacentral:rRNA from 1 species
GAUGAACGCUAGCGGCAGGCUUAAUACAUGCAAGUCGAGGGGCAGCAGGGCUGUAGCAAUACAGUUGCUGGCGACCGGCAAACGGGUGCGGAACACGUACGCAACUUACCCUUGUCUGGGGCAUAGCCCACCGAAAGGUGGAUUAACUCCCCAUAAGAUAGUGGUGUGGCAUCACACAGCUAUUAAAACUUUGGUGGACAAGGAUGGGCGUGCGGCUGAUUAGGUAGUUGGUGUGGGUAACGGCCCACCAAGCCUGCGAUCAGUAACUGGUGUGAGAGCACGACCAGUCACACGGGCACUGAGACACGGGCCCGACUCCUACGGGAGGCAGCAGUAAGGAAUAUUGGCCAAUGGAGGCAACUCUGAACCAGCCAUGCCGCGUGGAGGAUGAAGGCCCUCUGGGUUGUAAACUUCUUUUACAGGGGACGAAACACUUCUAUUCUUAGGAGCUUGACGGUACCCUGGGAAUAAGCACCGGCUAACUCCGUGCCAGCCGCCGCGGUAACAC